CCGCACUCUGCCGUUCACUCACACAUACACACACACACGCCCAAGCACGCACGUCCGGACGUAACAGACACACCACACACUGAAAUCGCGAUUUCGCCCUCCCCGAGCCGCGCUAUCACCUGGGGAGGUCCUCCCGCCGCCGGCCUCUCCCCCGGUGGCGCUCUGCUUGCAAGCCCCUGGGCAAACCUGCGCGCAAAAACGUCUUUUUGCGACUUAUCAGUGCCAACCUUAAGAAAAGAAAUUAAUACAUACCGCUUUCAUCCGCUUAUCGACGGGCCGUGGUCUGCUCCCCGCAGUAUACAGCCGAGGCGCAGAGUCCCACCGGGAAAAAGCCCCGCGGCGCCUGAGGGUGUCUGCUCCCAACCGGACCCACGGAGACAGCUCAUGGUGUUCCCGAGGAGGAUUUCUGCCUGCAGGGACAGUUCUGGUGCCACUGGGGCCGUGGGUGUUCUCUGGUUAUCAUCAACUUCUUCCCCUUAAUCCUGGUGUCUCCUUAAAGAUGGAGAGGAGGUGGAAGGAUGUUUGUCUUUUCUGAUAAGGAGGACAGGAAAAAUCACUGAAGUUGCCCCAGCAAUGCUAAAAGCUUUGGUGUUUGAGUAGCCAAACCCAACAGCUUCUGCCCCUGCUCCUGCCUGUGCUGUGGGGUCAGUCAGAAGGACACAGGGUUCCUCUUCUCCUCUCUGCUGGGUUUAACUUCCUACAGCUCACUGAGGCUGGGAAUUGUAUCCAGAGCUUUUUGAGGCUCCUGGUGCUCGGGGCUGUGGUGUUUGGUGUGCAGAAAGCAUCCCAGGCUGUCUACCUCAGCCCAGGGCACAGCUGGAGAAAAGGUGGAGAGUGGCAAGCAGGAGUCCCACAUUUGGAUCCACCCUUGGAUUCCAGUUCCUCCUGGUGGGUCUGUGCUGCCCAAAGCAGAGAGGAAGGAGAUGUUGGAGUUCCUGUUUGUUCACUUGCUGAGCUUGGAAGAGACUCUUGAGUGUGAAAUUCCAGGGAAGCUGUGCUUGCUGUAGUGAGUGGAGAGAGAAGCAGUGGCAGCUGUUUGCUGUGUGCUGGUUUUCGACCUUGGCUUCGGUUCCCUGGCACUCCAGGGUUGAGAAUCCCACUGGUUCCACGAAUGAAAACAACAGGAUUGGUGUUUUGAGGGGCCCUUGGCAAAUUGCUGACAAGGAAAAGUCCCCACCAAGGUCUUGUCUGUGGCACCUGGAGCUGCCCGGGCCACUGAAAGGCUCCAAAUCUGCUGGUGUUUGAGGUGAGCUGUGGCAGAAUGGAAGAGCAAACACUUGGGAUUAAUUUCCUGCCAGAAAUGCGUUUCGGCAGCAGCAAUCAGCGGAGAUGUAGUGAGAAACUGUUCUGGUUUGAAAGCAAAACCAGUGAGAGACUCCAAGUCAGAAAUACAAUUUAUUGGGAAAAGGGGAAAAAAAAAGACAAAAAUACAUGCAAUGAUAUAAAAGGAAAACCACUGACAAAGUCAGAAUACAACCUGACACCCCUUUGGUCAGCGUGCUGGUAGUAGUCCAAAUUGGAGUGGCUGCAGUCCUCCUCGAGUGACAGAUCUGGUUGCUGUGUCUUCUCGGAAACCUGUGGAAAGGCUGCCUUUCUGUCUAGAAAUCCCUGGAUUUAUCCAGGUGGGAAUGCCUAGCUUCUCCCCCUGGGCAGAGCAUCUCACAAUGGGCUGAUGUUAUUCUGAGUCAUGAAGUGUGUCCUUAAUCACCUGUUAAACAGAACUGGCUCCUGGAGAGUGUUAUCUCUGAGUCAUGUGGCAAGACAUUGAUGGGCCUAUUAACAGGAGAUAAGGAAAACUGUCCAGAUGCAACUGCUACUCGGAUGGUAAUAGGAAACAUCUUGGUGCUCAGUCUUGGACAGAAACCUCUCCAGUUUGUGCUUCCAUGCAGCUCCUCCUCCUGCCCUGGGCUCCUGGCACUGCUGCUAUGAGAGACAGGCUCCCUGCUCCCACUGAAAUGCAAAGCAAUGGAAAUGCCAGAGAUGAAACAUUAGUGUGGAGUGGGAAGUGGGAAGCAGCUGCUGGCAGCAGGUUGACCCAGUGAACGGGCACUUCUCAGGGACUCGGCAGCCACGUGGGGAGGAACGUGGCAGGGCUUCACCACGGAGUCCCAGCUCUGCUCCACCCUCAAUCAUGGGCUCUUGUCAGAUCAGCUGCUCCUUCUGAUCCUAAGCAGGCACAAAUUAUCCCUUUUUGCUUCUCAAGGAAAAGGCUAAGCUUGGUGUCCUGCAUUAGGGUUGUUUACAACCUCUGGAGUUUCCUUAUUAAUGACUGCCCAGGAAGGAUCUUGUGGGAUGUGUUCGCUGGACAAGUUUGGUCACAACUGACAGAAUUCCUGCUGGCUCCUUCACCUCCUGGUCCCUCGUGUUUCACUGAGCAGAGCUGGCAGUGUUAUGAACAGUUUCCAGGUGUUCCCCAGAGACGCGGGCAGGGCUUUCCUAGUUCCCAUGGCAACACUAAAAGAAAACUACUAACUCUA